UCAAAAAUCCGAAUGGAUAAAUUAUUUUACUUUCCAGGUAUAUGUAAAAGAUAUCAAUAAAAUGUUAAUUUAAUUAUAUAUGCCAAUUCCAAUACCAAGAUUGUUUUAAUGUAGAAUAAUGGACUGUUCAUGUGGCGGCAUACAAAAACAAUUAUGUGAUUGCAAAACGUACGUAUACCGCUCAGAUCCAAACGAUACCAAUAUUGUAUUUAUGCCAAUUAAACAUUCUUUAAAACGCCAGGAAACCACGUUUAGAAAUUUCUUGCAUAAUGUUUUUGAUGUCUGCCUUGGAUAUAACGUUAGGUACUGUGGGUUGCGUAAAUCGUCUGGGAAAAACAAAGCUAUUAAAAAUGCCGUAACAGAUUUAAUACUUUUGCUUUGUUUUCUUCUGACCAAUUCUAUUGUGUUUCUCACGCUUUUAACAAGAACUACAAUUCAUAUAGGAUAUGUUCUAUUACGUCCUGUGAUUUAUCUGCAAAGAACUUUUUGUAAUAAAUACCAUCCGUAUGAGCCUGUGGAAUUGGAUCGAACAUAAUAUGGUGCUUAUGAAAUCUUACUAUUAAAGAAAAAA